GUUUCCGUAGGUGAACCUGCGGAAGGAUCAUUGUCAA
rnacentral:rRNA from 14 species